AUUAGUUUAUUAGCGAAAUUUUUGGCGGGAACGUGGCGGGUGAAGUUGUGUGAUUUGUUAGAAUUUCUAUAUAAUUACCUAUUUAGUGCUUCUAGUGUCUGCGAUAUGCCAGGGUUUUGACACGUAAGAUCUGUUACAACGAAAAUACAAUACAAUUCCAUUAAACGUUGAUAUUACGUGAAUAGGUACUGGCUAAACUUUCCUCUAUGGUCCUCUAAAGUUCCUUCCUAAAGUUUAACCUAGUCAACAUACUGCAGCCUUUGGCCAAUCUAGGGGUGGUCGUGGUGGCGGUAGAAGUGUCUGCACAUGUGGUGGUGGUCGCCACCAAGCCAGACUUUCGGCCUCUGAACCGUAAUUACCUCUUAAAACUAAAAGUCUCAAUACCAAUUGAGGAAUUGCCACCCGGCCAACCCCUAGAAACGCCACAGCACUCUAAGAGGGUAAGGGUGCUCCCUCCUGUGAUGGCGAAACACCUAAGAUCAGAAAUGUGGAGUUUCUCUCUGCAUAAGCUGACAUCGACCAGUGGGCCAAUGGAGCUUUUGGUGCCAUCACCUGCCCUAUAGUAUGUGGGCCUGGCAGUAGUUGGGCAAGCACCUCGACCACCGAGAGUGGCCUGUAAGUUUGGAUCGCACUCCCAGAACACCCCGUCGACAAAUAAUCCGUUGGUGCAAACCUCUUCGCGAUGACGAGCUAAAAGCUUUGCUCAAUUACGCGAAGAAGAGUCUAAGGAUGAAGAAAUUGUCCAGCCGUCAUUGGUGCCCCGAGCGGCAAGGAUGUGGAUGGACGAAGACGAUGAGGAAGUUGGAAGAGAAGAUGGGUUUAAUAUUACUUACGAGUGGCCUCCUCAAUCUCUUCGCCUAUCCACGUUAACCCCAAUGCGCGCCUCACCGACGACUCUUUCGUUUACUCCGUUAGAACCUUUUUUCACUAUUUUUUUAUUGCUUAGGUGGGUGGACGAGCUCACAGCCCACCUGGUGUUAAGUGGUUACUGGAGCCCAUAGACAUCUACGACGUAAAUGUGCCACCCACCUUGAGAUAUAAGUUCUAAGGUCUCAGUAUAGUUACAGUAUAUAGGUCUCAGUAUAGAACCUAAUAAAAAAUUAAAAUUUGAACGGAGAAAGGUGUUAAUGCCUCAAAUUGAACCCCAUUUAAAGCGAAGAACCUUCACCCAAAUAAGUGGCCCUACGGUCUCUUUCAUACGAUGUAUUUAUUGCUAUAGGGGAUCGUGAAAUCGUGGAAGUGAUUGUCACGGAAACCAACACUUACGCACAGCACACACACUGGUGGUAGGACCUCUUGUGAGUCCGCGCGGGUAGGUACCACCGCCCUGCCUAUUUCUGCCGUGAAGCAGUAAUGCGUUUCGAUUUGAAGGGCGGGGCGGCCGUUGUAACUAUACUGAGACGUCUGAGACCUUAGAACUUGUGUCUCAAGGCGGGUGGCGCAUUUGUAGAUGUCAAUGAGCUCCAGUAACCACUUAAUACCAGGUGGACUGUGAGCUCGUCCAGCCAUCUGAGCAAUAAAAGAUAAAUAAAAAAUAUGGGAUCGUGAAAUCGUGGAAGUGAUUGUCACGGAAACCAACACUUACGCAUAGCAGCUGAUAAUGGCCAUGUUUUUUUUUUUUUUUUUGCUCAGAUUGCUGGACGAGCUCACAGCCCACCCGACUUACUGUACUUAGUUACUGGAGCCCAUAGACAUCUACAACGUAAAUGCGCCACCCACCUUCAGAUACAAGUUCUAAGGUCUCAGUAUAGUUACAACGGCUGCCCCGCCCUUCCAGCCGAAACGGUCUACUUCUUCACGGCAGAAAUAAGACAGAGCGGUGGUACCUACCCGCGCGGACUCACAAGAGGUCCUACCACCGGUAAAAUGUUGGAGAAUGAGACGAUCCAAUAAUAGCUGGAUUGGAUGGCAAGAUACAAAUGUAAACGUGCUUUACACGUAUCUUGCCCAUCGUUCUGGCUGUGUGGGUGGUAGUAAAUAACUCGCUUAGUAGAGUAGUAUAUUAGUAGUAGAAUAUUAGUGUACCUCUAGAAAUAUUUGUUAUACACCAGACUUCUCCGCGGAGAUGUGAUAUGAGUGUUUCCUGCUGCUGUCAAAAUGCCUGCAUUUUGUUAACAAUGAAAAUUGUGAUUUUGCAACGUUGCCACAGUGGCCGGGCCAAACUUUCCAAAAUUAAACCAAUAUUAGACCUCUUUUUUAACACGCUUUAUAUUACCUUCACUUGUAUAUAUGUUUGUAUGUUUGUAACUGACUCCUUUGGAAGCGAUUUUGACCCACUUUAAACGGCCAGUUGUUAUUUAAAUUUUGUAGAUUUAUCGAGGACCGAUGACAAUACACCAAUUUGAUAAGAUUAUUCCAUUAUUCAAUUUGUCAAAUAAGAUUUUUGUCAAUUUAUAUAAUUUUUAUCUAUAGUCGAUAAGGCGGGAAUUGAAGUUAAAGUACUUAAUAGUUUUAAAAAUACGCUUUUAUAGAAAAGUUUAACUAAAAAAUGAAAAAUAAAUAAUAGUUUACAAAAAUUAAAAAAACACGCGUUAUAGUCUAAAAUUCAAUUAAAAAAUAGAAAAUAAAUUUUAAUAAAUUUAAAUUGAAAAUACUGUAAAAAAUAUAUAUUUUAUUUAAAAAAAAGCGUGGGUACUUUUUUAAGAUAUUAUUGGAAUAAUAAUUCUUCUACUCUUAUCUGUCGAAAAAUAUUUCUAACUAAUAACACCAUGCACCCCACGCUUUUUUUACAAUAAAAUAUAUUUUACACUAUUUUCAAUUUCAAUUUAUUAAAAUUUGUUUCUAUUUUUUAGUUGAAUUUUAUAUAAAGCGUGUUUUUUUGUUUUUUUAAACUAUUAUUUAUUUCCUUUAUUGAUGCAAGAAACAAAUUACAACCAUAGAAAUUAUAAGUUUAAAUAUUUAAUUUAACAAUCUGGAUUGAAAUUCAAAACAGGUUCAUACAGAAGAAUUAUAAAAACUGAACAGAUGCCUAAAUACCUUGUGUGUAUAUAUAUAUAUAUACAUGUAUAUAGAUAUACACAUACGUUCACACACACAUAUGUAAGUUACUAUCUAAUUAAAUUUAAUGUAAUGUAUUAUUAACUGAACAAUAUUAAUUAUUUGAGAAUAUAUUUAACUAAUUUAUAAUAUUUAUAAAAACUAUUUUCAAAAUUAUACGUAUUAGCGCAAAUUAACGCUAUUGACGAGAGUUUGACAAUGUGGAAGGGCUGGCUUUUUUUUUUAAUUGCCGUUGUAGGCAGACGAGCAUGCGGCCCACCUGAUGGUGAGUGGUUACCGUCGCCCAUUGACUUCAGCAAUGCCAGGGGUAGAGCCAAGCCGCUGCCUACCCAACUGGCUUGACAGAAACCAGUUCAUUCCUAACAAGGCAGCGACAGUUGGUAUCAAAACUUAUACUAGGACGCGCGCUGAGUCGGCUGCGAUGGUCCUGCUGAGGCUGCGAUGCUGGCUUGCUGUGGGAUGACUGUCGAUGACUUGCUUUUGUCUGCGAGAAUGCGGGAAUUGUGGUAGCCGAAGUUCUUGAUGCGCUGAUGAUGAAGUGUGAAGGUUGCAAUUGUUCCGUCGCAGGUCACCAGUGUGGGAUGCUGAAUGAUGAAAGGGAAAAUGUUCCACCGAGCGGGUCAUAUUUGCUCGGUAGACCGACGGUCCGAAUGUUGUUGUUCGGAUCUUGUAUAUAUGCGAGCUUAUCUUGAAAAUGUCAUAAGCGAGAUUCAGGCGUCUGUCAAAUAUCUUGUUCUGUGAUGGGUACCGCCACAAAGUGUUUGAAUCGCAGAGUUACCUGUGGCGGUUCGAAGUUCACGCCGGCCCUCGGCUUCACAGGACGCGCCAAUUUCUCGUGCUCAGGCUUUUAAAUGGUCUUGAGCAUAAAGGGCACACAGUAUGGGCAGAUUUUUAUAAUUCUAGUCCGAAAACUUAAGGUCCGAGGCUUUGACUGCGUGGUGACACUGCAGACUAACCGGCAAUUGGUGCCGUAAGAAUUGUCGUCCCUUACAAAAAGGAAUAUGACAGUCGGCCAAGUGUUGGGAUGCACCUCGGGAGAUGGGGAUCUUUUGGUAUGGAGAGAUAAAAGCCGGGUGGCAUUUAUUUCCGCAUACCAUGGUCUCGCAUCUGUCAUGUUUGGAAAUAGACUGAGGCGGUCUGUCGCUCAAGACUACAAUGUGUGUAUGGGCGGAGUAGUGGCAAGGACCAUCAGCUCGCAAUGUGCCCCAUAGAAAGAAGACGAACAAAAGUUUGGUACAUGAAAGUUUAGAAGGCUCUACAAAGCUAGCGUUUUGAACUCACACAUACUACACCACGAUCGAGCGUUGUCACACCGGAGAUUCCGGACGGUGUUAUCCACUAAAUUGACUGCACACAGAACACAUCCUACUUUUUUUUUUCGGGUAUGGGCCGGACCUCCAUGAGGUCCCCGCGCCUAGGGGGUAUGUGGGACUCGACGAUCUGCAAGGUGUUGGAAGCAGACCGUGGGCCCAAGGAUUUUUAGGGCCCACCCACUAAACGACUCCCCUGCACUCUUACACCCGACGUCCGAUCUCCGUCCGGGGUCAAAACCCACACAUCAAAACACAUCCACCUAGCACAACCAUCGCAACACAAGUACAUUGCCCGACGCAAUACGACCUGCUCAAGCCGGGAAAGUCAGACCGCUUUAGGCACCAUUGCGUCGUCUGCCCCAGCCGGACUCAUACACACUGUAAAGCCUGCAACGUGACAAUGUGUAUGUACAUUUGUUACGAGACAUACCACACUUGACACGGACACUUUACCGUUUCUUUCCUAUCUAUGCUGAUAGCCUUGAGAGGCUAUUUCAGCUUCUCCUUGACGUGUGUAGGUGAGCUCACGGGACUCAAACCGGGAGUGUUGCUAGCACUAACCCUAGCAAGAGCCGUGCUUCGCAGAAUCUACCACCGAAUCGGAAACGCGACCCACUGAGAAGAUCCGGCGAGAAACUCAGUGGGCUGUGGUCUAUGGGUUAAUUUACUCGUCGAGCCCUUUGUCGCAAGUAACGGGUUCGACAAGGACGGUGACCGGUGCUUGAGGCACCUGAAAGCACCUUUAGUGGAUCGAACACUUAAUCUCUCAUUGCCACUUAUUUUCAUACACACACGCGCGCGCGCACACAUUAAGGGUUUAAAGGCACUAGUGUUAUAGAUAGUACUUCUAAAAAAAUUGAUUUUUUUUGCCCUUGUAGCCAGACGAGCAUACCUGAUGGUGAGUGGUUACCGUAAAAAGUUGGUGAUUUGUUAUUGUUCCCAUCCAUAUUGUUGCACAGUACUAAAAAAAUCCUGCCUUAUGUGUUGUAGGACUUGUUAGGUACGUUGUAUGUUAUAUGGCGGGUUACGGGGUCGUGUCAACCAUGCAAUUCGCAAUUAUUAGAGAUGGCACAUAAAUUAAGUGCGCAACUGGAUUAUUAUGAGUGUUGGGUAAUGGGUGUUGGGUUAUUUAUUUGUGUGCGAUCUUUUAAUUAUGUGAUACCUAGGUACGAUUAAUUGCAAGUGACCUGGUUGUUAUUACGUUUUUUAAUAUUAUUAUUUUCUUCUUUUUCAUCACGAAAUCAUUAAAACAAUUGUUUAUUUGACAUACCAUCAAUAGUUAAAUAAAAAUAGAUUCGAAAAAAAACUAACUAAGCUAAGUUAAAAAAACUAAGAUGACUGCAGCGGCUAUGGCGAAAGAAUAUUGGUAUAAAAAAUAAUUAUUCUUAAAUAUGAUUGUUAUAAAUUAGUUUGUAAGUUUUUUUUUUCAAUAAAUAAACGAUGUAUAAUAAUAUUACAUUCAGCCAGCGUUUUAAUUUUUUUUAUCGUAAAGUAAAAAUUAAAUUAAUUAGGUAUCCCAUAUGGGGUAUAAAUAAUAUUAUUUAUAAUAGAAUUCUCAAGUGUAGUAUGAGAAAUUACAUAAAGGAAUAUAUCUUGAUUAAUCUAAUUGGAAUUAUACACUGUGUUUAACAUAUAAGUUUAGCGGCAUUCGCUACAAGAUGUCGCUAGUUUCCAUACAAAAAUAUAGUUGUCCUAAAGUAUCCCAGUUUCUGAUGUCUGCGAAUGGUUUAUGUGUUGUCGGGAGCUAUUUGAAUUUUAAAUAUAUGCGCUUAUAAGGUUGUCCUCCGCUUAGUUUUAAAUAGCACGUUACUGCGUUUUUUACUGGUGGUAGGACCUCUUGGGAGUCACCACCCCGCCUAUUUCCGCCGUGAAGCAGUAAUGCGUUUCGGUUCGAAGGGUGGGGUAGCCGUUGUAACUAUACUGAGACCUUAGAACUUAUAUCUCGAGGUGGGUGGCGCAUUUACGUUGUAGAUGUCUAUGGGCUCCAGUAACCGCUUAGCACCAGGUGGGCUGUGAGCUCGUCCACACAUGUAAGCAAUAAAAAAAAAAUGCUGAUAGCCUUGAGAGGCUAUUUCAGCUUCUCCUUGACGUGUAGGUGAGCUCACGGGGCUCAAACCGGGAGUAUUGCUAAAACUAACCUUAGUAAGAGCAGUGCUUCCAAGAAUCUAUCACCGGAUCGGAAACGCGACCAACUGAGAAGAUCCAGCGAGAAACUCAGCGAGCUGAUGUUUGGGUUAGGUUGCACGUCGAACUCUUUAACUCUUUUCUCCUAGCGUUAGAGCUGAAGGUUUCUAUUGCUAGAAUUAUUGGCUCUGAUGGAUCCGUAAGGACGUCUCUAGGACGUCGACGGUGAUUGACUCCUGCGUCAGAGGCGGCAACGAUAAGACGAUUAUGAUGACGCAUAGCUUUAUCGAACUUCCCGUGGAGAUGCCUUCAAGUCUCCUUUCACCCCUCGAUAUUGUAUUAACUAGCGUAUUGUGUGCGUCGUCAUACCUAGUGGCGGAUUAAAGGUCCAGAGCGCCCUAGGGAAUCACUAUCGGCGCCCCUGUACCGGCCAUAAAUGGCCAUCAUAAUACUAUAAAUUUCAACUAGUUAUUUUUGCAAUUACGAUGACGUUGUAUUAUCAAACCCUAGACUUUAGUAGACCAGGACAUUUAGUUCAGCAUAUUAUGUCUAUAUGUUAAGGUCUAUAACAUUUUUUAUGCUAACAAUUUUUUAACCAAAUUUGUUCUAAAAUAAAGCAUUAUUUGCGAA